AUACGUAGGGGGCGAGCGUUGUCCGGAAUUAUUGGGCGUAAAGGGUUCGCAGGCGGUCUGAUAAGUCAGAUGUGAAAGGCAAUGGCUCAACCAUUGUAAGCAUUUGAAACUGUCAGACUUGAGUUAAGGAGAGGAAAGUGGAAUUCCUAGUGUAGCGGUGAAAUGCGUAGAUAUUAGGAGGAAUACCAGUGGCGAAGGCGACUUUCUGGACUUAUACUGACGCUGAGGAACGAAAGCGUGGGGAGCAAACAGGAUUAGAUACCCUGGUAGUCCACGCCGUAAACGAUGAGUGCUAGGUGUUGGGGGUCAAACCUCGGUGCCGCAGCUAACGCAUUAAGCACUCCGCCUGGGGAGUACGUACGCAAGUAUGAAACUUAAAGGAAUUGACGGGG
rnacentral:rRNA from 1 species